AAGUAAAUAGGCGAUGACGUUCGCCAGUGGUGCUGUAUUUAACAGCACUUCAAAUAUUACACUCCGUAAUUGAUGACGUCUGCAAUAUU
rnacentral:ncRNA from 2 species